rnacentral:misc_RNA from 1 species
AACGCACAUUGCGCCCUCUGGUAUUCCGGGGGGCAUGCCUGUCCGAGCGUCAUUACAACCCUCAAGCUUUGCUUGGUAUUGGGUGUCACUAUUUUUUGGUGCAUCUUAAAAUCAGUGGCGGUGCCACCUGGCUUCUAGCGUAGUAAAACUUCUCGCUAUGGAGUUUGGGUGUCUGCUUGCCACCAACCCCUAUUUUUACAGGUUGACCUCGGAUCAGGUAGGGAUACCCGCUGAACUUAA